GAUGAACGCUGGCGGCGUGCCUAACACAUGCAAGUCGAACGGAAAGGCCCUGCUUUUGUGGGGUGCUCGAGUGGCGAACGGGUGAGUAACACGUGAGUAACCUGCCCUUGUCUUUGGGAUAAAUUCAGGAAAAUGGGGCUAAUAUCGGAUAGGAUCUCCUGCUCCAUGGGGGGGGUUGGAAAGUUUCGGCGGUUGGGGAUGGACUCGCGGCUUAUCAGCUAGUUGGUGGGGUAGUGGCUUUCCCAGGCUUUGACGGAUAGGCGGCCUGUGAGGGUGGACGGCGACAAGAGGACUGAGAGACGGACCAGACUCCAACGGGAGGCAACAGUGGGAAAUAUUACACAGUGAGCGGGAGCCUGAGACAGAAGCGCCGCGUGCGGGAAGACGGCCUUCGGGUUGUAAACCGCUUUCGCCUGUGACGAAGCGUGAGUGACGGUAAUGGGUAAAGAAGCACCGGCUAACUACGUG
rnacentral:rRNA from 1 species